UACGUAGGGGCCGAGCGUUGUCCGGAAUCAUUGGGCGUAAAGCGCGUGUAGGCGGCCCGGUAAGUCCGCUGUGAAAGUCGGGGGCUCAACCCUCGGAUGCCGGUGGAUACUGUCGGGCUCGAGUACGGAAGAGGCGAGUGGAAUUCCUGGUGUAGCGGUGAAAUGCGCAGAUAUCAGGAGGAACACCGAUUGCGAAGGCAGCUCGCUGGGACGUGACUGACGCUGAGACGCGAAAGCGUGGGGAGCAAACAGG
rnacentral:rRNA from 1 species